AAAAGAAACAAGGGGGAGAGGGGGGCUGACAUUCACAACUUAUCUAAAAAGCAUGAAAAUAGAAUGAUUAAAUUCCACCAAAGGCAAUUAUAAAUCCCAACUUCCCAUAAAGCGUUCCCUACACCAAACGGAGUACCUUUACUUUCAUUCCCCCAAAGUAAGUAAUCUGGGCUAAGAGUCGGAUAAUGAGUCUGAUGUGUCCGACACAAAAUGAGACGAAGGAACCGAACUGAAGCUACAGAGGCAAAGAAAUGUCACCCAAAGGGGAGAGGAAAGCUGGAAGAGAAACCCGAGAAGGGAACGGACAGAAGAGACUUGACCAGUGGAGCAAAGGAGUGGGAAUCACUUCAAGGGAGGCAGCCUUCAGGACUGCGGAGAAACGGGGAUCUAGGUCCACGGAACCGGGCGUUUACGGAACUCGAAGGCUAAUGGGGAAACAAUGGGGCGGUGAGACCGGGAGCAAGCCGAGAGACGCUCAGGAGAGGGCGACUAGGCAGCACGGGACGGGGGUGGGGGUCGUAUGAAAGAGCAGAAGGCUGCAGUGGACAGAGGCGGCAGGGAGGUGAAAAGCUACGUGGAGAGCCAAGUUGGUCGAGUGUAUUGGGGUUUCGUGGCGCAACCGGCAGGAAAGCGAGGGUCUUCUAGGUACCCGGGGGUGGGGGAGUGGCUUAUCAGGGAUUUUUAGACAGGCAACGGAAGCCGUGAAGGCAGGUGUGAUGGAAGCAAAAAGCACACACCUCGGAGCAGCACAGGACCCGCCGUGCCAGACAAGACGACGGGAAGGAAGAGGCAGCUGAAGGGACCAUGGUGAACCAUGUGGAAUUGCUGAUGCUGGGUGAAACCAGAAUAUGAAGAUACUCUAAACUGAUUUUCGGCACAUUUAGAAUGGAAGAAUAAUAGGCAAAUGGCUUCAUCUGGGCCUCAAAUUCCUCUUCUGCAAAGGAAGAAGAUUGAGAAGGGCUCCAAAUUGCAAGUCCUUUGGCUGUCCAAAGCCAGAGAGAAUAAAAUCCUCCCAUCCUUAGCCUGACUCUUGAAAGUAGCUGAGCAGAGACAUGCCGUUGUUCGAACGUGGAUGGAAGAACCUGGUGCUCUGCAUGAACACCGAAGCUUCCCCAGACUCCUGAGAAGCUGGCGGGACUCACUGCACUCAGCACAUGAGAGGAGACCUCUCCCCUUCACUCAAGGUUGGCCUCACUUGGAGCAGUUGCAGAUUGAGAGACAGAGUUCUUGGCCUUAGUACUUAAGACUCUUGACACCUGAAAGUCAUCAUUCCAGUUGGAAUGAAAGCAACGUGGAACAAAUAGGUGUGGAGGGAUCAGCAAGCCAGGAAACAAAGACCAACAUGGCAACAACAACUCUCCGCAUGUGUGCAGCAUUUCCUGGUUCUCUGGCACUUCCUUACAUUAUUUGUUUUAAUCCUUACAACAGGCUGAGGGGUGGUAACAUUUAAAAGUGUAGAAAUGAAGCUUCAAGGAGUUAAGUGACUCGCCCAAGGCCUCCUUGUUGGUAAACAUAGACCGGAGGGAAUUGAAUUGAGGUCUCUCUGACUCCAAAGUCUAAGCUCUUAAACACUCAUGCUAAUCAUUAACCGCACUUGCCUAACCGUUCAAUCUGUUCUUGGCCAUCAAUACUGGACACUAAAUUCUAAACACGUUCUGCAUUUUAUUUAUUACUUUAUUUUUAUUUAUGUAAAAGCUAAAUGUAUAGUUCUCAUCCUGUAAGAUGAACACUAUCGUUCUCAACUAAUCUUUUUUUUUUUUUUUUUUAAGAUUUUAUUUAUUUGACAGAGAGAGAGAGAUCACCAGUAGAGAGAGAGGCAGGCAGAGGGAGGAGGAAGGAGGCUCCCUGCUGAGCAGAGAGCCCAGGACCCUGAGAUCACGACCUGAGCGGAAGGCAGAGGCUUAACCCACUGAGCCACCCAGGCACCCCUCAACUAAUCUUUUAGCUGUCAGCAGAAGUCUGGGCUAACAACCUGCUCUAGAUAAUAUACAGGGAUAUCUGGACUCUUCAUCUUCAAACUGUCAAUCUUACUGAAGAAACUGAUGCCCAGAAUGCGCAGACCAGAUAAGCAGCAGCCGUUACAGACUUGAGUCUGAUGAAAAAUACUACGUAUUUCGUUUAUAUUCAUAGGUUGUGUUAUGGCUAACAGGCAUGCCAUAUAUAUGAUUGUAUUUGAUCCUAAGGAAAAUUGUGAGGUAGAUAAGGUAAAAAGUAAUAGUAUCUCUAUUAUACAGAUUCAGAGGCACACCCAGAAUUAUUAUCUUAUUAAAUUCUAGUCUUGAGAAUCCAAAUCCCAAAUAAAUGAACGUCUAGCCCUUUUAACUCUUCAGUAAUACAGCUGGGACUGAGGUCAAAUCUUGACUCUACCACACAUCUGUCUGAGCCUUCAGUUUUCUCCUCUGUCAGAUAAGGGAUGAGGAUGUCUAUCUCAUAGGAUUGUGAAACUAGAUGAAGUAAUGUAAGUAAAGCCCUUUCAAUCAAGUAGUGAACAGAACAGAUGCAGAUCCCAUCCUCAUGGACCUGGAUGGGGAGGGGGGUGGUGAAAAAACAAAUGGGCGGUGAUUACAUAACUUGACGAUGAAGUUACAAGAAUCGUUAAGUGUUGUAAAAGGAAAAGACAGAAUGCUCUGUAGACAUACCGUAGGGUGAGCUAGCCUCCGCUGUAGUGGGGAGCAGGCCUCCCCAGGCAGUGAUCACUAAGCUGGGUCCUGAAGGAUGAGUGGCAGUCAGUGAAGUUGGGGGGAAGGCGUGGGGAGAGGGGGGUACAGGUGUGGGUUGUAGCAGAGAGUAUUCCAGGCAUGAAGGGCAUCACCGAUGAAGAAGCUUGGUGGCCUUGAAGAUCAAAGAAAUGACUUCUGUGGCUGGAGUGUAAGGAGCUUCAGGAAGAACAAUGUGUAAAGAUGCUGGAGAAAUAGGCAAUCUCCAGGCUAUGUGGAGCCUCACAAGACAAGCUAAAAUUAUUGAACUUUAACCCAUGAGAUGUCAUGGAAGGGGUUUAAGCAAGGGGCGGCAUCAGGCGAGAAGUUUAAAAAGUCCAGUUCUGAACUAGGGAAAGUUGCAUCUUUUUAAAAGCUUUCUUUUCUUUUUUAAAAAUAAACACCUCUUUCACACCCCUUAUAUUGCAACAGUGAUAUAGACUGUGCGUUUGAAAUAUAAAAUGAAAAGAUUUAGACUGGGGCAAGUAGCAGCUCCUCCCUCUACUACUUUCAGGAUCCAGGACAAAUCACUGCAAAGCCUAUCUCUGCUCUUGCUACCUAAUACAGUUUCCUCUCUAAGCAAAAGUUAUCUUGUAGAUCUUUAAAGUACUUUGAGAACCAGGGUACACACUUCUAGGAAGCUCAUUUAUUCAUUGUUUGUAUGUGUUUCUUAAAGAUUUUAUUUAUUUACUUAACAGAGAGAGAGAGACAGACAGAGAGGGAACACAAGCAGGGGGAGUGGGAGAGGGAAGAGCAGGCUUCCCACUAAGCAGGGAGCCUGAUGCGGCACUCGAUCCCAGGACCCUGGGAUCAUGACCUGAGCUGAAGGCAGCUGCUUAAUGAGUGAGCCACCCAGGUGCCCCUAUUCAUUGUUUUUGUUGAACAAAUAUUUAUUAAGCAUCAGCCAUAUGGCUAGCAUAAUAUUAGGUCCUGGGGGUUCAGAGGUGGAUAAGAUACAGACCCUGUACUUUAAAAACUCACAGUUAGGGGUGGACAUAGGCCAGAAAAAAAAAAAAAAUAAGUAGUCACUUUGUUGUACACCUGAAACUACAUUGUGUAUCAACUAUACUCCAAUUUAAAAAUAUUUAAACAAAAUAAAAAGGGAUGGAAGAAAAUACAUACAUACAUACAUACAUACAUACAUACAUAAAAAGUAAUGACAAUAAAGUAGGAUCUACUACAAGAGAAGCAGCAGGGAUAGAGUUAUUUACAGAACCUAGAGUCAGGGGAAAUUUUCAGUAGAGCUGAUAUGCACAUAGUAUGUGCUUAAUACAUGUUAAGUAAUUGAAUGAAAAGUUUGAGCUGUCUUUACCUCCCAAUUUUAAUGAUAUGUGAUUGGCAUAUAACACUAUGAAUUUAAGAUCUACUAUGUGUUGAUUUGAUAUACUUCCAUAUUGCAAAUAAUUACUACCAUGACACUGGGUUUUUUUAUAUUUAAUUUAUUUAUUUAGAGAGAGAAUGUAAGGAGCGGGGAAGGCAGAGAGAGAGAGGAGAAUCUCAAGAAGACUCUGUGCAGAGUGCAGAGCCUAACACGGGGCUAGAUCUCACAACCUUGACACAAUGGCCUGAGCAGAAAUCGACUCUGGACGCUCAACUGGCUGAGCCCCCCAGGCACCCCUACUACAAUAACAUUAUUGAACUGAGUCGUAAAGGUUGAAGGGAAGCCUACCAGACAAUAAGAGGAGAAGGGAAUGAGUAAGAUCACAGAUACCAUAAAAGUGACUUUUUCAGAUUACUUUAUCAGCAAUCAGCUAGAUAGUUUGAAAGGGAGAGAUUGUAGUUAAAGAGACCAAGUGAAAACCUGGGGCAAUAAUCCAGGUGAAAGGUACAAAGGAUUUAUUGUUCACUCAGGAAUAAUGUUGGUUGUACUCAGUUUGCUUGACAAUAAGUUUUACUUGGUAGUACAGUGUCUGGCUUGUAAGUGUUAAUACAUCUUCCCAUAAUGGAUGUCUGCUCGCCUUCACAAGUCAUCUACUGUCAUCUACUGAAUGUCAUCUACUGAAAUCCUUAUAAUACCUAAUACUAUGCUCUGUAUCCAUGUGCACUCAUCAAAAGUUGGGUUGACAGUUGGGUUCACUGGGCUGCGGUGGGAGUGGGGCAGUUGGAACAAGAGAAGUGGGAGAGGACUCCCCAUCUGCUGUGCCCCACAGGCAUUCUUCCUUCCUGUAAAGCAACAUCUUAAACUCAGCCGAACCUGCUUCUUAUUUUUCCCCAAAGGCCUGGUAUGCCCUUUCUCUUGUUCAGACGCAUCCAUCCAUCCUAGCUAAGAAACCUCAAGAUAAUAUUGGAAGCCAAGAACAAAGCUAGGGGAAAACAAAAAUCAUUUUUCAGACUUUUAAGAACUAUGCUUUUCCCUGCAGGAUCUUCAAAAGAGUUUUUCUUCCCAUUCACACAUAGAAAGAAGUCAGUGAUCCUAAGAUUCAACAAUGCCACUUCUCUGAAUCUACCCUAAAGAAACACCCCCAAGUGUACACAAAGAAGCAUGUAUAAACAUAUUUUAUGGACGAGACAAAAAGUAGAAAGAGCCUAAAAGUCAGUUCAUCCAACACAUGCUAAUAAACCAUGUUCUGUUCAGGACAAAAUACUAGACAACAGCUAAAAUAAAUAGAUCUGUAAGUAUUAAUAUAGAAAGCACUCCAGAAUUGAUUGUUUAAGUGAGAAAGGCAGUUUGAAGAAUGAUAGGUCUUGUAUUAUACCACUGGUGUAAAGAAUAACCACCAAUGAACCAACAACCCAAAAUAGUAGUUUAUUUCUUAUAGCUAUAUAUAUAUGCACUAAAUGCAUGAAAAAUGGUCUGGGAGAAUAUGUACAAAAAUAUAUACAAAUCUGGUAACAGUCGUUACCUCUAGGAAGGUGGGAUGAGAACCAGAACUGGAAAUGAUGGUCAAAGAAAUUUAGUGUUCUCUGUAUUUAAAUUUUUCUCACAAGUGUGAUAGUGCAUUUAUGAUUUAAUGAAAGAAUUUUUUAAGGUAAGAAAAUCAUUAAGGAUGCGCAGUACUAUUUUUAGUAGUGAGAAGUUGAACUACCUAAUAGCAAUAGAAAUACCAUUAAAUCAAUCAUGGUAUAAUCCACAUGGCAGAAUUUAAUAAAUGUACAUUUUUAUGUUUGCAGAUAUAAAGAAGUUAGUAAUUUAUAGUUCCAUUUAUAAGGAACUAUAUACUAAUUAUGAUGUUCUGAAUUAUCCCACUUUUGUUAACAAAUACAUACACAAAAAAGUUGGAGAUAAUUUUUUUAUAAAAGGUUUAUAGUUGUUUCUAUAUCAGUGGGAUUCUGGUUGUGUUUUGCUUCCAUAUACCCUAAUUCUUCCCUAAGGAAUAAGUAUGUAAAUAAGAAAAUUCUAUGCAUUUUUUUUUAAGAUUUUAUUUAUUUAUUUGUAAGAGAGAGAGAGUGAGAGCGAGCACAGGCAGACAGAGUGGAAGGCAGAGUCAGAGGGAGAAGCAGGCUCCCCGCGGAGCAAGGAGCCCGAUGCGGGACUCGAUCCCAGGACGCUGGGAUCAUGACCUGAGCCGAAGGCAGCUGCUUAACCAACUGAGACACCCAGGCGUCCCGAAAAUUCUAUGCAUUUUUAAAAAUGUAAACAAAAUGAGGGAAUUGAACCGGGAGAAAGGUAAGAGAAAAAAAUGCGUACUGGUGGAUGGGGUUAAGAAAGUAGGAAAAAGAUGUUUGAGGAUUUUUUUAAAGAGCUUUUUUUCCAGAGAGUUAAGGGGAAAAAUAUUUUUGUUCUCAGACUUUUUCAGUAUACUUUCCAAGCCAUCAAGUUCCUAAAUAUAACCAAAGAUGAUGAUUUUAUAAGCAAGCCAAUAUAAACAUAGAUGUUUAUAUUUCUACAUUAACAACAUGACAUUGGAGCUGCAAAAGUUCUUUCGAAUUGGCUAUAUUUUAUUUUUCUAAAAAAAUGAGUCCUCCUUUUGAGUCCCCUUUUAAAAUAUAACACUACCCCCACCCCACCAUGGCUUUGAAUUUCAAGAAAAGUCAGAAUAAGACAGCAGCAUUUAGGAUGGAGGACAGAGGAGUGGAGGAGCAGGAGGGAGGUGGAGGGUUAAUUAAGCAUUUGAGCAGGAAGGAGACGAGGAGGACUUUUUGAAGAGGCUUACCUCAAAGUAGCACUGCUUUAAUGUGUAUUAGGAUCAUCUAGGGAUCUGGUGAAAGUGCAAGUCUGGAAUGGGACGGGACUCCCGGGUGAUGCCUAGGCUGCUGGGCCGUGGGAGCAGCAAGGCCUUGGAGUCAGGGAAUUUGCCCUUCCACGCUGGUCCAUCUGUGUUUCACUGGCCAUGACUUCUUUCUUUCUAACCUGAAAUUUUUUGGUCAGGAUACCAAAUAGCAGAAACUUGUAAGAAAAUCAUAUUACCAUAUACAAGGUACAGUUUAAGGCCCUCUGCCUGGAAGUGAGGAAAAUGGGAAACAGGAUAGGGAAUGGGCAGGAGCUGCUAAGACAAAUGUUUUUUGUUAUAAAGGGUGCGGUGUUGUGGAAAAAGCCCUGGACGGGUUGUCAGAAGACCCGGCAUCAUUAACCAGCAGUGUGCCUUUGUGCCAGUCAUUUCUCUCCAGUUUUCUGUCUCCUUUCUUGUCAAAAGAAUUGGUCUAGGGGUGCCUGGGUGGCUCAGUUGGUUAAGCAGCUGCCUUCGGCUCAGGUCAUAAUCUCAGGGUCCUGGGAUCGAGCCCCACCAUCAGGCUUCCUGCUCAGUGGAGAGCCUGCUUCUCCCUCUCUCUCUGCCUGCUUGUGCUCUUUCUCUCUCUGUCAAAUUAAAAAAAUAAGUAAAAUCUUAAAAAAAAAAAAAAAAAAAAAAAAAGAUGGUCUAGAUGGCUUCUAAAAUCUUUUUGGCUCUGACACUUGAGGAAUCUAUAAAGAGAGCCUGUAUCAAUAGGAGGGAAGGAACAAGGAUGUGCCACCACACACAGAGCUGCCAAGGAUCCUGUACAUGUGGUAUUAUAAUGGAAGAAUUUUCCCCUUGUCUGCCCAGAUGCAGAAAUGUUGGAGUGAGAGACUGGGAAACAUGCCUAGUAUGAAAUCCUAGUACCCUGACUUCCUGGUUUUGGCAGUUUAAAGUCUUGGGAAUCUGUCCCAGGCUCUGUAAAGUAAGACAGACCAUGAAAACAGGCCCUCUAAGAACUUCAGUGUGACUCUGGCAGCCUUCAUAUUCUAAGGUCUUCUAUCCUUGGGGCUACCCUCAGGUUUCACCUCAUUCCCCUACACUGAUCAGCAGCCAAAUUCUAAAGCCACUUGAGCUUACAGUCCCAGCCAAAUGGCCCUACUGCCUUCCUGUUUGUGAAAGCCUCCAAUUCCCAGCCUGUGGUCAAAUCCAAUUUUUGCAGCAACUCAAUCUUCCCCCAAGAUCACCCUCUGGACUUGAGUCUCCCAGAUGCUGCAGACUCUCUCUGGGCCUAUAGCAGCCAAGCCUAAGGGAAUUGGAAAGGCCAGACCAAGGCGACACUUGGUUCUCUAUGUUAAAAAUAGUCCUCUGCUCCGAGUGGGGCUCGGCCCCUAGUUUGAUAAGCACAGGGUGGGAAACGGACCUGCUGUGGUGAGAUUACCCAGACUCUGCGGCAAUCUGCUACAGUUUGGCCUCACACCUCCACAGACCUGCCCUCUUCACCUUUUCACUUACUCAACAGGCCUAUGGCUAUUCUAGCAAAGACUCUGGCUUUAGGCUGCUUCCUGCGGUCUAAGGGCAGGUGGCCUCCUUCGCUGUUCCUGAGACCCCGUACCCAAGAAGACAGGAGAGCUUGGCUCCCUGAAGCAUCCAUUUGGGAUGCCAGGACCCUGUGGGCAGCAAGAGGAGUUAUUUUUCCCUCCGGCCCCAGCCUAGGCUAUGCUGAAUGAUGCGGCUGGCUAGUACAAAGACUGCUUUUUAUAAUGUUGGUCCUUGGUAUUUUUGGUGUCUGGAGAGAGCUUCCUCUCCUCCCACAGUUAAUUAGCAGCAGAGGAGCAUUUCCCUUUCCUCAACAGAGAGUCUGUUCCUGCCCCUGGGGCUGGACAGAGGGGUGGCAGGUGUGGCUAAGCACUGCCUGAGGUUAACCUCAAACGUCAGCUUAGAGCCACACUUGAGGAGAAGCAAAGGGAAAUGCGGGGUUAGCUUCUACUGGGACAGAGUUGGCAAGUGCGCACAGGUCCCUGGCAAGCCAGGGGAUUGUUUUCCACUCUCCCAGUCAGGUGAGGGGACAGGAGAAGGGGGUGGGGAACCAAUGUGUGUUUGACACAUUUGUGAAUUGUUCCUAUAACAAAGGCUUUAAAAAAAACACACACACACAUAACAGAGUGGAGCUUUAUAUAUGUGAAUGAGAGGCUCACAGAAGGACCUAUUGUCAGGAGGAAAAAUUGCAUGAGUAAUUGUGCAUGACUUCAGUCUUCCCAGUUGAAAUGUUAGGCGUAUUAAGGAUGAUUGUGGACAUUCCAGUGUUUCAGUGUGGGGAAGAGGGAGGAAGGAACCCCUUGGAGGUGAGGAGGCAGGUUGUCUAGCAAGGCAGUGGAGACAGGAACCUAAAAUGCUCUUCCUCCACUUUUCUUGCUGGUUCCCAUUCUUUCUCUACUUAAUUAGGGUACCACCUCCUACGGGAAGGCUUCCUGCACGUACCUCCUCUCACCUCCCACUUUAGGUGUUCUUGAUAGGUACCUACUGUUUUAUCAUUAUUUACUAGACCAUGAUACUACUGAUAGUUUGUAGAACAGUGUGCAUGCAUCCCAGGACCGUAUUCCACCACUUCCUAAAUGUGUAACUCUAGCCGAAUUACUUCAUCUCUGUGUCUCAGUUUCCUCAUCUGUAAAUGGGAGUAAUACCUACCUUCUAGAGUUGUUAUGAGGAUUAAAUGUGUUAAGAUAUAUAAGACACAUAGAACAGUGCCUGACAUGGUGUGCACUCAAUAAAUAUUAGCAAUUGUCAUUUUUACUUGUAUCCCCAGUAGUUAACACAAUUUGUAAUAUAUCAUGGGACAGUGGUUUUUCAACUCUCAUAUACAUCGUCACUGCUUGAGAAGCUUUAAAAUUAUAUGAAUCUGGGCUCCAUUGGUCUGGAGUGAAAACUGAUCUCGGUAUUUGAGAAAAGUUCCCAGGUAGUUUUAGUACACAUCCAAAGUCAUAGAUGCUCAGUGAAUAGGUGAAUAGAUGAAUGACAUGGGAUCAGAAGGAACCGAUCCAUAGGGCACCAUCCUUAGGAAUGUCAAAGCAUGAUUCUGUCCCCUUCAGAAAAUUUGCUAUUUCCUAAGGCUGACUUCCAGAGAAUGUGACAGUGAAUCUAAUGGAGUACAUGAAAGAAUAUAAUUUUCACCAUCUCAACAUACUGCUCUGUUGAAGAAACAGAAAAACAAUUUGCUAGAACUAAUAUUAGAGAUCAAUAGGUAUUUCCUCUUGUGCUCUCUUUUGUUUAUGCAGACUUAUUGCUCAGAGAGUUGCCAUAACAACUCCAACCAGAGCUGAACUUUGACCUUUCCUCCAGUUAUAGUUUCCACUCACCACCAAGUCAUUAGUUCAGUGGACUUAAGAAAACAUUUAAAUACCUCAAAUAAAGCAUUUCUGCCCCUAUAAUGCACAGUUGUACUAUGUUGUUAUCAUAACAUACUAUAAUUAGUUGCUUUAUUGAGUUGGUUUACAAAAUUUCAACUGACUGCUGCUUGUAAAACAGGAAGUCAGGCAUCUCUCUAUAGGAAUAAUGAACUAUAGCCAGGCCUUACUCUCAAGGCACGUAUAUAUUAAUGGGGGAACAUAAAUAUAAAUGUACUGAAAACUAGAGAAAAUGAAUAUACAUUUAAAUAGUAUGUAGCAUGAUAAAGUGGGCUUGGAAUCAGGUUUAGGCCUAUUUCGUAUUAGCUGCCUGACCUCAAUUAAUUCAGUUAACCUUCCUGAAUUUUAGCUCCCUCCUCAACCGAAUGUGGAUUCUGAUGCCUCUGUCACAGGAUUGUUGUGAGACUUCAAAGUGAUACUAUACAUAAGUGUCUGGCACUUUUUAGUAAAUGAAAUUAUUUUAAUGAACAAAGAGCUGUAUUCGAGCAGCACAAUUUGUCGUCAGAAUUUCAUUAUCAAGAGGAGAUAUGAUAGGGGCACCUGGGUGGCUCAGUCCAUUAAGCAUCUGCCAGGGUCCUGGUAUCAAGCCCCAUAUCGGGCUCCCUGCUCAGUGCAGAGUCUCCCCCUGCUUGUGCUCUCUCUCUCUCACUUGCUGUGUCUCUCUGUCAAAUAAAUAAAUAAAA